rnacentral:rRNA from 1 species
AAAGCACUUUCAGUAGGGAGGAAGGUAGUGUAGUUAACACCUGCAUUAUUUGACGUUACCUACAGAAGAAGCACCGGCUAACUCCGUGCCAGCAGCCGCGGUAAUACGGAGGGUGCGAGCGUUAAUCGGAAUUACUGGGCGUAAAGACGCAUGCAGGCGGCCUGUUAAGUCAGAUGUGAAAGACCCGGGGCGUUAACCUCGGAAUUGCAUUUGUAAACUAGGCAGGCUAGAGUCUUGUAGAGGGGGGUAGGAAUUUCUAGGUGUAGCGGUGAAAUAGCGUAGAGAUCUGAAGGAAUACCAGUGGCGAAGGCGGCCCCCUCGGACAAAGACUGACGCUCAGAUGCGAAAGCGUGGGGAGCAAACAGGAUUAGAUACCCUGGUAG